GAAAUACAGAAGAGGCAAGGCAGAGACUGAGGCUUAGACUGAGAAAGCCAAGAAAGGAGAUAUCGCACCUUCUCAUGUAUUCACAUGUUCACACAGGUGCACCUGUGUGUGGAGGCCUGAGGUCAAUGUCAGGAACUGUCUUUGGUUGCUAUUCCACUCUCUUCUUUUGAGUCAACAUCUGUCAAUCAAAAUCCAGAGUUUGCUCUGGGUACCCAUCUUCGUCUUCUGAGACUGGCAUUCCAGGAAAAGUCAACACAACCGACUGACACCCAAGACGGCAUGGUAUAACCAGAGAUGAAUUUGGAGGAGUCACUUGCGUGGUCCUUGAGGCUGAACCACACGAGAGUGGAUUAUCAGUGGCGGCAGCCCCCAAGUGGCUACCCUUCCCCACGUGGGUAUCUGAAUGGGUGAGAAAGACAUGCUCCAAAGCAACAGGCUGUUAAAAGAAGAUUUCAGUGGCAGGGUGGACUACUUCCCUAGCAGUUCCUGACCCUGAGGCUUCUAAAAACACAAAAUACUAUUGCUCUAAGCCUGAAGUAGACGGUAAGACUGAAUUGCUGAAGACGUGGGUGCCAAUUACAGAGCAUGGAAAAAUCAGAGUGGGACUGAGCUGGAACCUUUCCUCACGGGCUGGCUCUCAUAGCGCUGGACAGUGCUGUGCAGGCUGCUGGGAGAGCUUGCUCAGCCGUGAACUUGGUGAGUGACAGUAGCCAAACAACUUUCUGGCUGUCUUUAAGGCUUGAUAGUGCCAGGCAGGGUAAAGCCCUGCAGCUGGGCUGCUCCAGUGUGGAAACGACUGCCUUGUUUCACUAAGGUGCUGUGAUGCGUCGUGGGCCAAAUUGUCCUUUAGCAUGUGUGCUUAUGCCCGUAGGACAUUGGUGCUGCGUGGCCGAGCUGUGGAAGGAAACUUACCCCGGGUGAUGGGUGCUCAUGGAAAGAUUCGCAACUUAAAUGACUGAGAAUAAGGGACUCUUGAGGUGUCAUAAUUACCCAAUGUGCAAAAAAUGAUCAUAUCAUAUCAUAUCAUAUCAUAUCAUAUUUCAAGGCUCACAGAACAUCACAGAAGAGGGGUCAGAAGAAGAAGGUAAGAGUCAAAGGAAAGAGGAGGAAUGUUAGGAUGGCUUUCUUCUCUGGGCACGCCAUGAUGGCUGUUGGGAGUAUACCAUGCUGGAAACACAGAUGGACACGUUUGCAUCUUUGCGCAAUGUCGGAUUUUUAUUGAAUAACAAAAAAUUUACAAGACACAGUGGUAUCGAAGGCAUCAGUUUGCCAGGUAACCUCACCUACCUUGAUAACCUUGCCAAGAUGCAAGUUGCAAGUUGCUGGGAGACAAAGCUAUCUACUGAAGCCAAAGUCAAAGCUAUCUAGUGGAGCCAAAGCUAUCUACUGAAGCCUAAGUCAAUUAGUGAGUCAAAGCUAUCUAGUGGAGACAAAAGGUGUGUACUAGGCCAAAGCCAAAUAGUGAGUAAAGGUCAUUUAGUGGAGACCUAAAGCUAUUUAGUGAAAGCUAUCUAGGACCCUAACUCAUGGGUGAGAGACUGUGAGGACAUCUGUUUGUUAGAGCAUCCUUGAGAAAACAUCCCUAAGUUAUCUUGCAGGCACCCUAUUUAACACAUGAAAGCACUCUUCCUGUCUCCUGCAGCAGCUAAUUACCUUCCCCCUUUCCUGCCUUCUCCCUAUAUAAGUUGGGUAAAAAUUUCUAAUAAAUGAAGCCUUGA